ACAGAACGAACGCUGGCGGCAUGCCUAACACAUGCAAGUCGAACGAGACCUUCGGGUCUAGUGGCGCACGGGUGCGUUAACACGUUGGGAAUUUGCCUUUAGGUUCGGAAUAACUCAGAGAAAUUUGAGCUAAUACCGGAUGAUGUCUUCGGACCAAAGAUUUAUCGCCUUUAGAUGGGCCCGCGUAAGAUUAGCUAGUUGGUGGGUAAAGGCCUACCAAGGCGACGAUCUUUAGCUGGUCUGAGAGGAUGAUCAGCCACACUGGGACUGAGACACGGCCCAGACUCCUACGGGAGGCAGCAGUGGGGAAUAUUGGACAAUGGGCGAAAGCCUGAUCCAGCAAUGCCGCGUGAGUGAUGAAGGCCUUAGGGUUGUAAAGCUCUUUUACCCGAGAUGAUAAUGACAGUAUCGGGAGAAUAAGCUCCGGCUAACUCCGUG
rnacentral:rRNA from 1 species